rfam:Ovis aries breed Texel chromosome 2, whole genome shotgun sequence.
UCCCUGGUGGCUCAGACGGUAAAGCGUCUGUCUACAAUGCAGGAGACCCGGGUUCGAGCCCUGGGUUGGGAA